GUAGGUGGCAAGCGUUGUCCGGAAUUAUUGGGCGUAAAGCGCGCGCAGGCGGUUCUUUAAGUCUGAUGUGAAAGCCCACGGCUCAACCGUGGAGGGUCAUUGGAAACUGGAGAACUUGAGUACAGAAGAGGAAAGCGGAAUUCCACGUGUAGCGGUGAAAUGCGUAGAGAUGUGGAGGAACACCAGUGGCGAAGGCGGCUUUCUGGUCUGUAACUGACGCUGAGGCGCGAAAGCGUGGGGAGCAAACAGGGAUUAGAUACCCUGGUAGUCCACGCCGUAAACGAUGAGUGCUAAGUGUUAGGGGGUUUCCCGCCCCUUAGUGCUGCAGCUAACGCAUUAAGCACUCCGCCUGGGGAGUACGGCCACAAGGCUG
rnacentral:rRNA from 1 species